rnacentral:rRNA from 1 species
UACGUAGGGGGCAAGCGUUGUCCGGAAUUAUUGGGCGUAAAGAGCGUGUAGGCGGUUCAGUAAGUCUGCUGUGAAAGUCCAGGGCUCAACCCUGGGAUGCCGGUGGAUACUGCUGGGCUAGAGUACGGAAGAGGCGAGUGGAAUUCCCGGUGUAGCGGUGAAAUGCGCAGAUAUCGGGAGGAACACCUAUUGCGAAGGCAGCUCGCUGGGACGUUACUGACGCUGAGACGCGAAAGCGUGGGGAGCAAACAGG